rnacentral:lncRNA from 1 species
AAUGUGAUGACGUUGUCGGUUAUGAAAAUCUGACUAUUACAAGAGUUUGCACCUUCAACUGGCUAGUUCAAUUAUGACAUCUAGUUUUCUUACUUUCCUCAGAAGAUUCCAGUGUGAUGUCACGACUAUGCCUGCUGACGUCACAAAGAAGAUACUCUUCUUUUUACAAAUAUUUAACAAAGGAGUGUAAAGUGUAAAGAAACAGAUACCUCCACC